rnacentral:rRNA from 1 species
UACGAGGGGGGCAAGCGUUGUUCGGAAUUAUUGGGCGUAAAGGGUGCGUAGGCGGUGCGGUAAGUCUGUUGUGAAAUCUCCGGGCUCAACUCGGAGUCUGCAUCAGAAACUGCCGUGCUGGAGUGUGGGAGAGGUGAGUGGAAUUCCCGGUGUAGCGGUGAAAUGCGUAGAGAUCGGGAGGAACACCUGCGGCGAAAGCGGCUCACUGGCCCAUAACUGACGCUGAUGCACGAAAGCUAGGGGAGCAAACAGG